GCGAAUUGCUUCGUCUUGGAGGGAGGAAGUUUGGGAUUUUUAAUCAUUAAAUGGAUUAUACCAUUAUGCUUCUCAAAUAUUUUACCUUUAUGCCUUCCCUUUUGGUGGUGACUUUGAAUAGGUUUUGAUGCCUAAUAUUAGGAGGCUUAGCAGCAGAGCACCUGGUGUUUGGAUACUCUGAAGGACUUCAUUCUGAUGUGGAAAAGAUGGCUUUUGGCGUGGAUUUGUGGAUAAUCCAUUUUUGUGUAUAGAGGACAAUUUACACUUUUGUAUAAUCCUCCUCUGCUUUGUGUGGAUUAAUACUACUCAUACAAAUAACUUUUGGCAUCGAACUGAUAAUUGCUGGCGUGGUAUAUAGAUUACAUUUUGUCGUGGUACAAAUUACUACAUCAAAUGGCCAUUUGGUGUGGUAGUAAAUAUAUUUUUUGUAUACGAAGGGCUUGAUUUUUGUAUGAUUCUCUGUUUGUAUGGAAUUAUUAUUUUAGUUUGGACUAUAGUUGGUUCGUAUGGAAUUUGACAUUUAAAGUUA